UACAGAGGGGGCAAGCGUUGUUCGGAAUUACUGGGCGUAAAGGGCGCGUAGGCGGCCUUCUAAGUCGAACGUGAAAUCCCCGGGCUCAACCCGGGAACUGCGUCCGAGACUGGAAGGCUUGAAUCCGGGAGAGGGAUGUGGAAUUCCAGGUGUAGCGGUGAAAUGCGUAGAUAUCUGGAGGAACAUCGGUGGCGAAGGCGGCAUCCUGGACCGGUAUUGACGCUGAGGCGCGAAAGCGUGGGGAGCGAACAGG
rnacentral:rRNA from 1 species